UUGAACGCUGGCGGCAUGCUUUACACAUGCAAGUCGAACGGUAACAGGUCUUCGGAUGCUGACGAGUGGCGAACGGGUGAGUAAUGCAUCGGAACGUGCCCAGUCGUGGGGGAUAACGCAGCGAAAGCUGUGCUAAUACCGCAUACGAUCUAUGGAUGAAAGCGGGGGAUCGCAAGACCUCGCGCGAUUGGAGCGGCCGAUGUCAGAUUAGCUAGUUGGUGGGGUAAAGGCCCACCAAGGCGACGAUCUGUAGCUGGUCUGAGAGGACGACCAGCCACACUGGGACUGAGACACGGCCCAGACUCCUACGGGAGGCAGCAGUGGGGAAUUUUGGACAAUGGGCGCAAGCCUGAUCCAGCAAUGCCGCGUGCAGGAAGAAGGCCUUCGGGUUGUAAAGCUCUUUCAGACGGAAAGAAAUCGGGCGGGUGAAUAGCCUGCCUGGAUGACGGUACUGUCAGAAGAAGCACCGGCUAACUACGU
rnacentral:rRNA from 1 species